ACGCCCUCUACACCGCCCGCCCGCGCUGUCAUGCCCUGGGCCAGCAGUCCCCGCAGCUUUUUUGUUUUUAAAUUACAGAUUGGGGGAGGGGGUCUCGCUAUGUUGCCCAGACUGGUCUCGAACUCCAGGACUCUAGCGAUCGUCCUCCUUAGACCUCCCAAAGUGCUUGGAUUACAGGCCUCAGCCACCGCGUCCGGCCCCCAAAGGCUUUCAUUCGCAGCUUGAGCCCUGCGGGCGCCAGGAGGUGGGAGGACUGCGGGCUAGAGGGGCAGGGGGCGAGAGGAGGGCGGGGCCUCCGUUCGUGGCGGUAGCGGAACCAGGGGUGCAGGGGCGGAGCCAGCGCCGCUGGCCGUGGCGUCCGGGAGCUGUGGGGCCGUCCCCUCAUCGUCCGUUUCCAUUUUCCUUCUGCGUUAGGAGAGACUGGGGUAGCAUUAGUGUACUGAGCACCCGCUCCAAAUUUCGACUGCCCAGGUAGGUGGCGGCGCGGUGGUACUGAGGGCCCCCGUAGCCAGGCGCGCCCUCAGACAGCGGGCACGGGCGGACGCAAGGGCAGCAAGAAAUACAGCGCUUCGUGGUGGUAUAAAAACGAGACCUUUACUCUGGCAAUAGGAAUUCACAUUUCAAAAGCUGAUGAUUGUCAAGGCGAUUUAAAAAACAUUUUUAUGAGUGUAAAAAAUAGUGUUUUAAAGUUGGCCAUUUUCUAAUACAAAAUGUUUCUUUUUAAAUAGCCUUUAAUAAGCAGAAUGUGUGAUUGUUCUUUAAUUGGUUCUCUUUAAAAUGUGCUGGAAGACAAAGUUCGAGGAGCACUGUUUCAAGCAAGAGAAAAAGGGGACAUAAUUUAAAUGAAAAUGAAAAUAUGCAGUAAUGCAAUGAAAAAACCGUUUCCUAGAUUUAGUUGUACCGAAAUACAUGACAUCGCCUGCAUUUUGUGACUUUGUCAGUAGUCACGAAGGUAAGUACUACUUUGGGGUCAGAGAGAGCCUGUUGAGAUAAAAUCUCAAAGCUGUUAGAAACAUUUUAAGAUGUGGAAAGAUAAUCAACAAAAUCAUUUACAUAAAAUUAGUACUUAGCAGAUGUACACAUCUGCAAAAAUAAAGUGAGUUUGGAAGCAAAAUUUGAACAUUUAGCAAUAAAAUUAAGACGAAAUUGCUAGCCAGUAAGAGCUUAGGAAACUGGAUAUCCUUAGUGAGAUAGAAUAAACAAGAUCACCACAAUGAUGUUUUAAAACAUUAGGACUCCUGGGUUAACUGGUCUAUUAUGAUGAUGGAACUGCAGAAUAAAAAGGUUGUUUGGGCACCACUUGUCUUAGUCCUUUUGUUAAUUUGUCAUUUUUACCAGUAAGAUCUUCAAUUUGAUUUCACAGUUCCAUGAUGAAGAAAUAUUUUCUGCAAAGCAAAUUACUGUAAAUAGGGUAAUAGUAAUACAUUUGGCCAUGAUUUAAAUUCUGCACACAUUUCAGAGAGAACAAUUUUACAAUGUUAAGUUUUAAGCAAAUGCUUAUUUCAUGCAGUUACAAUAAGUUUAGGCCAAGCACUUUUUAAAAAGGCAAAUAUGUUCGAAUUAAAUACUUAGCCAAAAAAGGAUUUCAUUAUGCAAGACUGAUAAUACAAUCUCAAAUACUGACAGAAAUUAACCCCACCACAGCAAAUUAUAAAUUCAAAGCUUAAAUUCUUUCAUUACACUGAAAUUGCUAAAAAAAAAAAAAAAAAAAAAAAAAAACUUUGCAUAAAAUAGUCUUCACCGAGUUAAGUAUUUCAUUUUAUAGUUACUUGUUGAGGACAUAAUAUACUCAAUAAAUAUUAUAAAUUAAGUGUAAAAUUUGAACUGGAAAGAAGUUUAAGCAUUUCAUUAGAGCUCAAAAAUCAAACCCCAUGCACCUAAAAGUAAUAGCAGUUUAUUAGGAAUUCUUCCCUUUCUCACCUGUGUAUCAACAUAUUGGGGAUCAGUAAUUUAGAUGAAAGUAUACUACAAAAGGAGCAAAGGACACAGACUUAGUAGGUUAGAAUAUUCUGGCUUAUGCUAAAAAACAAAAAGCCUUUUUUUUAAAACAGACAUGCAACCACAAAUUUCUCAAGUAUUUUAGACACUUGGUUCAUCUGUAUAACAAAAAAAAAAAAAUGCAUUUGACUUAAAAAAGAAAUAGAAAACCCUAGGUUUCUGUAGUUUAGUUUUUCAGAUUUACACAUGCAAAUCAUAUAUUCAGAUAUUUUUAAAUGGGAAAACAACUUACUUUCAACAACUUAAUUUUUCCAGUAACACGUUACUAUGUUAAAAAGAUGCGACAGUAUAUUCAUUUAAUCUGGCAAUUUUAAUUUCAACAAAUACAUAUUAACAACAAAUUAAAUCCUAUUGUAAAUACACUUCUUUGUUAUACCACGACCAAAUUUUCUAAUCCUAGUACAGGCCACAAUGAAAUAGGCCAAACAUGCUACCAUUAAAGUUUGUUGGGAUGAGAUUGUAGUAAGUUUACUCAAAGUAUUCAAGUUCUAAUUUUUAAGGUGCUGUAGAGAAACAUAAAAGAUUUCACUGUAUCUAAAAAUAUGACUGUUUUGAUCUUAAGCUAUACAUUUUAUUUUUAUCUAACUGAUUAAGACCUGCCUCUUAAUGAGGCACAUUUUUGGCAUUUCUGUAAAUGCUGCUACAUACAAGUAAAAAUAAGGAAAAGCCGUGAUAGUAACAUUCAUAGCUUUCAUAGAAAAAUAUAUAUUCCCUGAAUUAGUCAUAUCAAGUGGUCAUUCAGUAUGAACUGCAAUAUUAUAAACAAAAUGACAUCAAUGGACUUUCUCUAAUUGCCUAUUUCCAACACUCUACUUCAGAACUCAAUAAUCAGUAUCUCCAGCUGAAAUUCCCAGGUCCUCCUAGUUUGUUUUUGACCUUUGGGGAUGUGAAUUGUAGGGAAUGGAUCUGGGUAGUUUUUGCUUCACUCAGAAGUCAAAUAGGCCCAUUAGCACUUCCUUUGGAAAAAUGCCUGAUUUUUUUUCCUCAUGACACCAUAGUUGUCGUGGUCUGAAUUUUUACACUGUAAUGGAGAACCCUGAAAAUUAGCAUCAGGUUAAGAUUUUGAAAUUUGUUCACUUCAAGUUCUUCCUAGCCUGUACACUUCCCAUUAUAUUCUUCCUCUAAGGAAUCAUGUCUUCAAGGCCUUGCAUUCUGGAAAGGAAUAGUAGUCUUAUAGCAGGCCAUUUGUCUUUUCUUUCCACCUCUCCACCUACAGACUCUGCAAUUUAUUUCCUCCUCAGAAUUCCCCAGAGCACAUGUCUGUACAAGAGCUGACUGGGAGGAACCCACUGGAUUAUGGCUUUUAGAAAAUUCCUCCAAAGAUGCCAAUAAGGGAGUAAUUUUAGAGCUGGGAGCAGAAUGUAACUGCCAGUUUACUUGUGUACCAAUUGUUUUCAGAUGCCACUUCUACAUUCUCAUAGUCACUAUUGUGCAUUUUCUUUCCAGGAUCUGAACCCCCUUAAAAAAAGCAUUUUUCUAUUAAUAUCUUCUAGCUCUUUUUCACUUUCAGAAUUUAUGGUUGUAUCAUCCUCUUUAUAAACAUUCAGUAAUUUUUUCUUAGCCGCAGCAGAAGCAUUUCGAUGGGGCAGUUUUCUGCUACUCUUCCUAAUCCAGACAUUUUCUGGUCCUGAGAUCGUUUCUUUUAGAUUACUCAUUAUCUUUAUUUUAUUUGCAGCAACAGUAGCACAUCUGCGGGGAACUUUCUCAGGUACCAUUUUUGCUUUCAGAGUUUCACUAGGCAUCUGCACUGCAUCCUUCUGAUUAUGCAUACAUGUUCUCACUUUUGUAUUGGGUUCUCUGUCUCUAGGAACAAAUUCUGAAAAAUGAGUGAAAGUUCAUGUAAAUGCAAAAAUCUUGUAACACAAGAUUUUACUACUGCUAACAUUCCUCAACAACACUCAUUCGGAAACAAUAAAUUUAAAAGUCAUAUUGCUAAAUGAUAAAUUUUAAAAUGUGAUACUAAGGGCUUCUUCACAUUGAUAUAACCUUACAUUUGCUUAUCUACAACUAUAAGGAUGUCACUUAAAACAGUAGCAGACUUGUAAGAAUGGGGUGAAAAGUUCCUUCAGCAUCGGCAUCAUAAAGCUGCUAAUCUAAAAACAUAUAUAUGAGCAUUUUACAUAAUUUGAAUUACUAAAUCUUAACUUCAUUGUUCCAGUAUUUUCUGACCUAGGUAUGUGACACACGAGAUUCAGAUUAAAAUUCUAAAAAAUAACACAGAGUUGCUUUAAGGAACCAAAAAGUGCAGAGUGCUAUGAGAACACAGACUGGAAACCUAACCUAGCCUAAGGGAUCAAGGAAGGCUUCCUUUAAGGAAGCUUUUAGACGAGAGGUGAAAAUUGUGAAGGGAUUUGCCAGACAAAAAGCACUUUGGAGAGUUAACUACUUCAUGCAGACUAAGGCAGUUUUUAGAGGGGGCUUGAAAUCACACUGGAGCUCUACACAGCCACAUGAUGCCAGAGCUACUACUCCGUGCUGACCAAACUUAGGAGGGCUCAGAUAUGUUUGUUACCAGUGUCUCAAAGCCAAAUUUUCAAAUUUCACAAACAAGUCUAAUUAGUACUCUUCUAGAACAGAAGUGAUAUUCCUUUUACGUAUCUGAAGUUCACGGGCCCUUGAAUUUUAGGUCUUUCUUGCAGCCAUGAACAGUCAAACUAUCUAAAACUGCCUUCAUGGUACACACCAAUCUUGAUGGCAGUUUGUUUUGUAGGACCCUGCCUGAAGUUUCCAGACAUUUAGCAUUCAAAAGGUAAGGCUGUAGAUCACUGAAAUAACCAGUUGAUAUCCUCCACCCACACUAGACAUCUGGAGGACUCCACCACAUUCUUUUUACUACUAAGUACUAGAAAAUGAGAGCUCUUUUAGUCAGAUACUAUCAAGUAACACUAUUAUUCUGUAGCAAUGAAACCACCAAUGCCAACCUUCUGAACUUUUUCUUCUGUGAAGAUGUUUGCCCUUCUGUCACAAAGCUGACUGAAGGGCAGAUGAGUACAGGUAAAAACUGCUUCUGUGGACUGACAUGUUCAUACAGCUAGACUAAUGAGGCAGGCCUCUGCCCUCACAGUGCAAGCACUUCAGAUUUUUCCCUAAGUCUAUGAAACUGAUUUCACACUUCUCUAAGAUCAGUUGAGCGUUCUCCCCAGAAUAGGUUAGGAAAUACUUUAUUCAAAGCAACCCCACCACAUACACAUCAGUUCCUUUUGCCAACUAACUUAUGUGAUUCACAUGUUUUUCCAGUGAAAUUCUAAGGGCACUAUGUUUUGUUCAGUGUUCAGUCUCCAGGCAUUGUAAAUGGCAUUUUACCAGAGUAAGACACUCAUCACGGCAUUACUCUCAUGCAGCAUGCCCUUACCUCCUUCAGCUGGACUCUGUGGGAAGAGAAGUGGCUUAAAGUGCACUGUGUUUACCACUUCAAAGACACUUCUCUUGGGAAUUUUAAAAUUAUGAACUAGUAUCUCCAACAAGUCAACCCUAUAUCCAAAAUGAAUCUUUAACACAUUAAAUCAAUGUUAGCAAAUGCUAAAAUGUAAAUAUGCUACAAAGGGUAAACAAAAAUUUUAAAAUAUGCAAAAUUAAGGUGAAAUUUGCACUUUAUAGUAGGAUGAGAAUAUACUAUUAUCAACUAGCUGCACCAUUUGCAUUUGGAAGAAAAGAACAGAUAACUGGUUCAUUCCCAACAACCUAUUCAUCCAGACAAAUAGAUAAAAUUCUAUUUCAACUACAAUUUGUAACAAAAUGCUUUAAGUUGCAGAAAUUCCAUUUUGAUGUGUGAUCAAAGUACCUAUACUGACAAUUUAGGAACCUAGUAAAUACUAAUUCUAACACAUUUUAAUAAAUGUUUAUUUGUCAUCCAGAAUAAUGGAAAAGUUAAGAUUCUGCAGGAAAAAAAAAACUAAAAUCAGGUUUUUAAAAAAUACUUAAGGAAAUUUGAACUUCAGUAACUAUGCCCAAGGGAGGGAGAAUUUGAAUUACACUGUACUCUAACUUGAUAAAGCUGAAUCUCUUAAGUCUUAGACAAUAAAACAGGAAUUUCAGAGAAUAAGGAUAAAAACAAUCUGAGGAAGACAAAACUGUGGAGAAUUUUUUUAAAUACAUUCAAGUCAGUGUUAAUUUUAUUACUGAAAACUGAGUAAAUUAUAAAGUGCUUUUUCUCAAGAAAACUACAAACAGUUUUAGAAAUAUAUAUAGGAUAUUUCAGGGUUAGAAGUCAAAUUUGUGUGUUAGGGUACAAGCUUAAGAACUCUGGAUGUUGCUGCUCUAACAAUGCAUUUGUGAUGGUGCCAUGUGAUACUAAGAAGUCAGUAGAAUCCCACCAGUCCUACUGCCUCAGAUGAGUCUUGUUUCAGUCAUGGGUUUACAAAGUCAUUGAGUGCUUGAGGACUUGUUUUCCUGGAAGUGAUUCCCUACUUGGGUAUGGCAAGAACACAUCAGUAGUGUAAAACUGUACAUCUGUAGUAGCACUCCAUGAUCAUUUCCCUGGAUGACCACUUUAAAUUAUAACUCACAGAUAUGUGUGUAUUCUAAGAUGGUAUAUGUGGUGAAUAGAAACCUGGAUACAAACAUAACAGUUCUGACUCAACACAAUCUCUAGUUUCUACAUUUCAAGGAUUAAUCAUAUUCUAAUUAGACUUUUUUUUAAUUUUUAAGCUACCUUAUUUACAGAUUCUGCACAAUAUUUCAUCAUACAAAACUGUUUUCCUAAAUUCAAAGUAAACUGCAUAUGGUUACUACAGAAGCAUUAUAAAAUUUUCAUUGGCAUUUUUAAAAUUGGAGCAUUUAAAACAGAUUUGAGAAUGAGAAAAGAAUGUCUGACUCAAAAUGAAAACAUACUAGCCUCUUUCAUAAACUCCUAGAAUCUUGACAUUAUUGGUUGCUGUGGUUGGUGGAUAAAUCAAAUCCACAAAGUGGGUAAACCCUCUAGGUGCAAGUUAUAAGCUCCCUCAAGCAAGCCUUUUAUCAGAAAAGACUUGAGAUAUUCUCUCCUCUGUCUGCCCUUCAUUGAUAAGCAAUGAAAUGACCCCAAAACUCAGAAAGCAAAUAACAUUUAUCAAUGAUCUUCAUCCCUCCCAAAGCAGAAGUUUCCAAAAACAUCCCAUAAACUGAAGUACCCCAAUGGCUGUAGAAUAAAAUGGUUUCUGUAACUUGCUGUGUUUUUAAACAGUUCCGUUUUCUAGGGGGAGCUGGUAACACUGCAGUAUGGCAGCAUCAGGUCAAAAGACCAUCAGAAAUAAUUCCAUGAACUAGUUCAUUAGCUUAUUCAUUUUUAGGGUUCAUUUACUCAAUGAUGGGCACCACACAACUCUGAAUUUUUGUUCUUAUUCUGGAACUACAACUAAUCUAGCUCAUCACAAUACAGUUUUCUCUCACCCCUAGAAAAACUCAGAUUUGUGAUGGCUAUUGCAAUUUUUAAUAAAAAUCUCAUAAAAGCCUUAUUUUGAAAUAUGAAUUCAGGGACUUUAUACUUAACUGCUUAAUUUGCUUUUUAGAAGCAAUACCUUAAGAGCAUUUCACACUAAAUGCAGGCAGAAUCAGAAGUAAAUACUUGUUUUCAAUCUACCCUAUUACUGUACUACUGGAAAGAAACCAGGCCACAGACAAUCCAAUGGCAAACCCCUUUUCCAGCAGGGCUCCUGACUCGCUUCAGUUCCCCUAUCCAAGCUCAUAUGUAAAACUCACAGCGCUCGCACCCCUAUAUUCUGCCUGCAUGAAAAGAAAUUACCAGUGGAAAAGAGGUUGGGGAACCACUUGGGACAAGUCUGGAAUUAACCAGCUAGAAUGUAUUUGGCUUGGAGUAGUGUUUUGUUUUGUUUUUUAACUCUUUUGCUUGUUAAGAUGAAAAUGCUAAAUUUAUUAUAUCCCAUUUAAGAACUGACAAAAAUCAUCUAAAUGAAUAGAUUAAUUUAGAACAUUAACGAUCUUAUGUGAAGUGGAAAACUAAAGAUCUGCUUGACAGGCUCAUGUAAUUUUUUGAUUGGGAUUUUGUAGGUGAAUAUAUAGUUGCAGUCCAAGGACUGAUUCACAUUUAGAAAAUUAACUUGAAUAUAUCAAAAAUUAAAGAUCCCUUUAACUUUUACCCACUGAUCAAAAAAGGUAAUUUUUAAAAUGAUUUACCUUGUAAAACAAAGGGGUAGAGCUGCUACAGUCCAUCUAGGCUCUAUAUACUGGUCAUCUCAUUUCAGUUAGGUCAAUUGGACUGCCUCUUCUCUUUGGCAGUCUAAAAUCUCAUUUAAGGGCUUUAAUAAAUGAAAAAACUUACCUUAAAACUGACAUAACUAAAAUAUGACCAGAAAGUAUACCAUAGCAUUGAUAAUUAAAUUCAAACUAUUGGUCUUGCCAUACUUGAGAAACAGAUGUAUAGUCUAAUUAUUUACAUGUUGCCAAAGAUAGAGCCUGCAGAUUGGUAGAAUCCAAAUGAUGUGACUCUCCCCCUCCCUCCAUCAAAUCUAGAAAAGCAAUUCUUGAGCAGACACCAAUUUAAAGAUAUUUUUCUACCAAUUUAACAAUAUAUUAGGAACCAGCUUGGCAGAUUAUGAAAAAGGUAAAAAUCUCUUACUUUUGAGAAUCCCCAUGUAUCCUUGGGCAACAUCUCUGUAAUUUAACAGCCUUUAAAACUUAAAAUCGUAAGAAAAGACAACACAGCCCUUAGCAUUACAUACUUUACUUUUCAAUCCUUACUAUUCACAGUUUGAGCUAGGAAUUAACAUUUGCUAAUCUAGUUGGACUCAGUUUUUCCCACAAUGCUCUAUUUUCUCACCUAGUUUUGACAAAUUUAUUCCUUCUCUUCCCAAAUACUAGGAUAAGAGACAGUCUCAAACUGUUAAGUUGCAAAUUUCUUGGGGUUUCUGCUUUAUUAUUUCCUUGAUAUCCACAGCAGAAAUUCAGAGGUAUAACUUCAACAUUAACAGGUGAAAAGUUCUACAAUGACUUGUUGCACUCUAUCACAUUAAAAUAAUUGAACUAUAAUUUCCAUACAACAUAAGAAAACUACAGUAUUUGGUGACAACUGCAAGAUACCUGAUAAAUAAAUAUAUCAACUUACUAUUCAUGAAAAGAAUGGAGCUGGUUAUUUCAGCUUUAAAAGGGCAAAGCAAAAAGACCAUUUUCUAGCCAUUUAAAAGUUACUCAAAAAAUUGAUACAAUGGAGUGGAAAGGAAAACAAAAAAGAUCGUAAGCACCUUUAACAAUGUUCUUGCAUUCUACUGAUAUACAAACCUCUGGGGUUUCAGUUGGCACAAUCAAGUUCAACUUGUACUAACAGAAAAUAUUAAAAUUCUUCCUAUUUUUAAUAUCAAACAGGGAGGUUAGUAAAUUGUUUUCUGAUUCUUCUACAAAAAAAAAAGUCUAGAAGACAGAGGGAAUGUAGUGUGCACCCCUUAUUCUAAGUGAUAAUUUUUACUUACGAGGUCAUAACGAGUGCAAAGGGCUUAGUGAUGCAUCUUAUUCUUUACUUUUGGACAGUAACACCCUCAGAUGGUAUUUUUAUUGGUUUGUUUUAUAUUCCCCUUUUCCAUUUGCCCUUCUGUUUUGAAGUGCUUUUUCUUAAAACUUAAGUUCUUUGCCUCCAUUUUCUUAUAAACCCAAUUUCCUCUUUAGGUGCAGCUCUACUAUUUGAAAGGAACCUUUCUGUUGUAAUUUACAAGCUGUGAGUAACUGCUAUAUCAUUGUUUCCAAGGAUUAAUAAACUGAGAAAUGAUUUAAUCAGAUAUUUGCCACUUACAAAAAGGGAGGCUGACCUUAGGAAUUAUUUGAAUAUGGGAUAAACUUUUCCUUUUAUUCAUAAGUUACUUCACAUUGUAAGUAUACCUUUUUAAAUAAGGAGGACACGAAAAAAGAAAGCUUUGUUAACACUCAUCUAUCUUGUCAAUGUUUGAAAUCAUUUUUCCUUUAUAUGCUUGGUAAAGUGAGUCUUUCCAAGAAAGCAAAAAUCAAAUCUGAGUACUUCAAAGCCUGUAAAACCAUAAAUGAAUAAAACCAUAGGACUUUGGACAUACACAACCAAAGUAGUUUUUGUUUUUCACAUACACCAUUAAGUUGAACUUCAAGUGCAGUGGAAAGGUACAGCACUUAUUUCUGGAUCAGUUCACAUUCAAAUUAUAACCCUUUAUCUUUUUCUCAAGAAUACUACAAACUGACCCUAAACAUUAAAGUACACCUGUGCAUUAAAUCCCUGGGCAUUUUGCAUAACGUAGAAAAAAAAGGCCAAACAUGUUCUAGUGCUCAAUGUAAACAUUUUAACUAUUAAUGAUUUAUUAAUUUUCCUUAAAGGUACUUAGGAGUGUGUGUGUCACAUAUUCAAAGUUAACCUUAGGAAUAGCACCAUAACCAAAAAAACCCAUAAAAAUUAUUUUCUCCAUUAUCUCUCAGUUUUAUUUCAUAACUUGAGAAGCUACCAUUGUCGGCUAUGCUUUUAAAGACAUCAGGUCCAUUCUUGCUGCUUCUGAUGAAACCAAAUCUGAUUAAAAACCAAAAUACCACUUCUGUAUGCAAGGGUCUAACUAUUUUGGACUGAAAGAAAAAAUGGUAAUUGGAUGGCCAGUCAAUGACCAAUUAAUGCAGUCCAAAUAAUCAGAAUAGUUCUAUUAAUGAAGCCUAAACUGUCAAAAUAUUGUUUUAUACCAAAAGAAUGUAUGUACUUAUGAAUGUAUUCCAUAUUUAUUUAUGGAUUUUUUUGGUACCUUUUUGCAAAUGAUGGUAAACAUGGAGUUAAAACCUGAGAACAGAUUAUAAAAGAGAAGGUUAAGAAGAGUUUAAAUAAAUUAAUGGAUUUGACAUCUAUCACCAGUUUUUAAAAUUAGCAAAGUAAAAGGCAUCCCAUUAGUCUUUUCAGUCUUAGUCAAGGACAAUUAUCAUGAAUCAAUCUGUUUACUAUCUACUUAACACAAGUUCUGAGAAGAAAAGCAUCAUAGUUCUGAAAUGGUGAUAGCUCUCUAAGCCACAAAUGAGAGGAGGUUUCCCACCUAUCUCAGUUGAUAAUGUCCAAAAACAUCCUUCCCCAUGCAUCAGAGUAGAAAGAAAAUGUACCUUCUACUAUGUCAAAUGGAAUAGAUAACUACAAAAUAGGAACACUUCAGAACAUUCUCUAACAUUAAUACCAGUCUGAUGCUUCGCCUUGUCUGCCACUUCAAAGAUACACAGGAGAAAAGGUUUUGUCUGAAACCAAACACAAUUAGGGCUAAUAAAUAACAUUGUCUAAUAUUGAUACCAGUCUGAUGCUUCACCUUAUCUGCCACUUCAAAGAUACACAGGAGAAAAGGUUUUACCUUUUCUAACUACUUUUGCUUUUCCUUUCGUUUUCCUCCUUUUGGUUUUUGUAUUAUCAGUACAGUCAAUAUCUGAUUCAGUUACAGAUCCCAAAUCUGAUGAUUUGGAACUAGUAUCAGGUCUAAACUUUGAAUUCCCAGUUGUUUCAGAGAUUUUCACAUUUUCCAAUUCAGGAUGCGAUCUCUUCCUUUUUACUUCCUUCUCUGCUGUUUCCUGUGAAUCAUGAAUCACUUUUGUCUUACUAAAAGGAGCCUUUCCAUAGGUCCUGAGUCUUCUGCCAUUCCACCUGCGCAGCCCAUAAUUCAGUUCCACUUCAAAAUUAUUCUCUGCAGUAGCUUUUUGUGCCAAGGUUGACUCUGAAGAAAAUGUCCUAUCAGUCUCACUCCCUGGAAUAUGACUUUUUGAAUCUUCUCCUGAAGAUGUAACAGAGGAACUUUUUCUUUUAGAAGGUGCAUCUAUUUUGUGAAUAUUGGUAUGCCUGUGCUUGUGUUCUGAAUUCAACAUAUCUUCAGAGUCUGAGUCUCCAUUUAGAGCCUGACUAAGCACUUUUGUACUACCUUCGGAGUCAGGAUCAGGUGGCUUGCCUUCACAGGCAUACUGUUCACUUGGUACUUCACAAUGUACACUUCCUUCACAAUCACUCAAUUUCUUCUUAGCUGUAGUACAAGCAAGAUGGAGAGGUUUUUUCCUUCCAUUUUUGCUUCUAGUGUGCACAUUUUCUAAACUGACAUCUUCUACAUCACUCAUGAGCUUGAUCUUAUUGGCAGCCGUAGCUGCACAUCUUCGAGUAAUCCUCAGGAGACCUGUUCUGGCUUUUGAUGAUUUCUUAACCACCUGUAAACUACUGUCUGAGUCACUGGAACAGACCCUUUUCCUGGAAAUUUUUCUGCUUAGUCCAUUGUCUUGUGAUGCAGAAUCUAAAAGUUAAAGAGCAGAUUUCUAUUAAUCUUUUGUAAGUCUAAAGGAAUUAUAUGUUCAAUAUUAAAAACAAGUUCAGAAUUCGUAUUAAUUUGAAGGGGGUAUUGCAGUGAAUGGAAUGGUACACACCUAUUAGUAUAGUCAUAUGUUGCUCAACAGCAAGGAUACGUUCUGAGAAAUGCAUCGUUAGGCUAUUUCGUCUUAAGCAAACAUCACAGAGUGUGCUUACACAAACCUUACAGUACACCCUACUACACAUCUAGGUUAUAUGGUAUAGCCUAUUACUCCUAGGCUACAAACCUGUAUGACAUGCUACUGUUCUGAAUCCUGC
rnacentral:lncRNA from 1 species